UUGAAAGGGAAACGAUUGAAGUCGGUCAUGCUGGUGGGAAUCAACUUAGGGGAAACUCUAGGUGCACUUCUUCGCUCAGCAGGUUAACGUCGAUCUUGAAUGCCAUAAAAUAAUUGGGGGAAGGUAGCUCCUUCGGGAGUGUUAUAGCCCUUGAUAGAUGUGAUGUUUGGGGUCGAGGAUUGCAACGGAUACCUUUGGGGCUAGCCGCCUGAUCUCUAAUCGGUGUUGGGUUACGGAUAGCAUGCUGAUCGUGAUCUAAUUACUGGUUAAAAGGUUAGAGCGUGCAUAAAUUCGUUAAGGAUGUUGACGUA
rnacentral:rRNA from 1 species